rnacentral:rRNA from 1 species
GGAGUAACACGUGAGUAACCUGCCCCAGACUUUGGGAUAACCCUCGGAAACGGGGGCGUAAUACCGGAUAUGACAUGGCCUCGCAUGGGGUUGGUGUGGAAAGUUUUUCGGUUUCGGGAUGGACUCGCGGCCUAUCAGCUUGUUGGUGAGGUAAUGGCUCACCAAGGCGAGGACGGGUAGCCGGCCUGAGAGGGCGACCGGCCACACUGGGACUGAGACACGGCCCAG